rnacentral:rRNA from 1 species
AUUGAACGCUGGCGGCAUGCCUUACACAUGCAAGUCGAACGGCAGCAUGGGGGCAACCCUGGUGGCGAGUGGCGAACGGGUGAGUAAUACAUCGGAACGUGCCCAGUAGUGGGGGAUAGCCCGGCGAAAGCCGGAUUAAUACCGCAUGCGACCUACGGGUGAAAGCGGGGGAUCGCAAGACCUCGCGCUGUUGGAGCGGCCGAUGUCAGAUUAGGUUGUUGGUGGGGUAAAGGCCUACCAAGCCGACGAUCUGUAGCUGGUCUGAGAGGACGACCAGCCACACUGGGACUGAGACACGGCCCAGACUCCUACGGGAGGCAGCAGUGGGGAAUCUUGCGCAAUGGGCGAAAGCCUGACGCAGCGACGCCGCGUGAGGGAUGACGGCCU